GUGAACCUGCGGAAGGAUCAUUAUCGUACAAAAUGUGAGAGAGGCAUGCAAGGGCUGUCGCUGACUCCAAGUCGUGCACGCCGGAGUGUGCCCUCUCACAUAAUAAUCCAUCUCACCCUUUGUGCACCACCGCGUGGGCACCCUUUGGGAUCAGACUGAUCUCGGAGGAUGCUCGCGUUUUCACACAAACCCCCCUUUUAAAAGUGUAGAGUGACCUCAUUUAUGCGCUAACCCGCAAUCAAUACAACUUUCAACAACGGAUCUCUUGGCUCUCGCAUCGAUGAAGAACGCAGCGAAAUGCGAUACGUAAUGUGAAUUGCAGAAUUCAGUGAAUCAUCGAAUCUUUGAACGCACCUUGCGCCCCUUGGUAUUCCGAGGGGCACACCCGUUUGAGUGUCGUGAAAAUCUCAACCUCCUUGGUUUCUUCUGGAGACCAAAGGAGGCUUGGACUUUGGAGGCAUUUGCUGGCAUCUUCUCUCUUUUGAAGGUCAGCUCCUCUUAAAUGAAUUAGCGGGGUCCUCUUUGCCGAUCCUUGACAUGUGAUAAGAUGUUUACCAUGCCUUGGUUUCUGGCUCUGUUGCUUUUGGGACCCGCUUCUAACUGUCUUGACCUUGCAUCGAGACAAUGUUCGAGCUCGUCUCCCUUCUCGGGAGACACUCUCGACCCCACGAACCCUGACCUC
rnacentral:rRNA from 1 species